rnacentral:rRNA from 1 species
GAUGAACGCUGGCGGCGUGCCUAAUACAUGCAAGUCGAGCGAACGGACGAGAAGCUUGCUUCUCUGAUGUUAGCGGCGGACGGGUGAGUAACACGUGGAUAACCUACCUAUAAGACUGGGAUAACUUCGGGAAACCGGAGCUAAUACCGGAUAAUAUUUUGAACCGCAUGGUUCAAAAGUGAAAGACGGUCUUGCUGUCACUUAUAGAUGGAUCCGCGCUGCAUUAGCUAGUUGGUAAGGUAACGGCUUACCAAGGCAACGAUGCAUAGCCGACCUGAGAGGGUGAUCGGCCACACGGGAAGUGAGACACGGUCCAGACUCCUACGGGAGGCAGCAGUAGGGAAUCUUCCGCAAUGGGCGAAAGCCUGACGGAGCAACGCCGCGUGAGUGAUGAAGGUGUUCGGAUCGUAAAACUCUGUUAUUAGGGAAGAACAUAUGUGUAAGUAACUGUGCACAUCUUGACGGUACCUAAUCAGAAAGCCACGGCUAACUACGUG